rnacentral:tRNA from 1 species
GUCAGGAUGGCCGACCGGUCUAAGGCGCUGCGUUCAGGUCGCAGUCCGGUCUUCCGGGCGUGGGUUGGAAUCCCACUUCUGACA